GAAACAAGGAAAAGUGCCUGAAC
rnacentral:siRNA from 1 species